UGGGGAAUAUUGCACAAUGGGCGAAAGCCUGAUGCAGCAACGCCGCGUGAGUGAUGAAGGUCUUCGGAUUGUAAAGCUCUGUCUUUUGGGACGAUAAUGACGGUACCAAAGGAGGAAGCCACGGCUAACUACGUGCCAGCAGCCGCGGUAAUACGUAGGUGGCGAGCGUUGUCCGGAUUUACUGGGCGUAAAGGGUGCGUAGGCGGAUGUUUAAGUGAGAUGUGAAAUACCCGGGCUUAACUUGGGUGCUGCAUUUCAAACUGGAUAUCUAGAGUGCAGGAGAGGAGAAUGGAAUUCCUAGUGUAGCGGUGAAAUGCGUAGAGAUUAGGAAGAACACCAGUGGCGAAGGCGAUUCUCUGGACUGUAACUGACGCUGAGGCGCGAAAGCGUGGGUAGCAAACAGGAUUAGAUACCCUGGUAGUCCACGCCGUAAACGAUGAGUACUAGGUGUAGGAGGUAUCGACCCCUUCUGUACCGCAGUAAACACAUUAAGUACUCCGCCCUGGGAAGUACGAU
rnacentral:rRNA from 1 species